rnacentral:tRNA from 1 species
AUUUAAAUAGUUUAAUAAUAAAAUAUUAGUUUGUGGGACUAAUGAUAUGAGUUUUCAUUUUAGAUA